ensembl:lncRNA
GUUAAAGAGAGAAUUGAAACCUCAGGGCUAAAACAAAAUGACUCCAGGGCUGAGGAGGCCAGCUGGCCGAUUGGGGUGGUUGAUUUCAGAUGGGUUUCAGAGCGUUGCCUCUGUGGAUGAUCAGUUGCAUGCUUGCACCUGGGCAUCCCUGCCUUGGGGCUGAAGGAUGUGUGGGUCCUCAGGUCAGCCUGGCUGGAGGGUGACUUAGUUAUCCUUGCAGAAGUGCUCCCAGCAUCCCCACAGGUGCCACAGCUAAGCCUGCGUGCUUGCCCGGUCUCACUCAGAACUGGAAACGCCCUGUGGACUCCUGUUUCCUCACCUCCUGGCCUGCUCCUCUGACCGAAGGACACGGCUCUGGGACUCCUAGGUGACCUUUUUGGUCUUCCCUGGUGGCUCAGAUGGUAAAGAACCUGCCUGCAAUGCAGGAGACUGGAGUUCAAUCCCUGGAUUGGGAAGAUCCCUUGGAGAAAGGAACAACAAUCCACUCCACUAUUCUUGCCUGGAGAAUCCCGGGGGACAGAGGAGCCUGGAGGGCUACAGUCCAUGGGGUUUCGAAGAGUCAGACACGACUGAGCGACUAACACUGUCAGUUUUCAGAGGUGACCUUGUCUUGUCAAUAAUGCUUGUGGGAGAGAAGCAGCCAUGUAUCCUUGGCGUGGGACACUCAUCUUUCCCGUCGGUAACCAGUGGGACCCAGUCCUGCUUUGCUGGCCCAACUCCAAACCUGUGCUGUGGCUAGUACAGGCCACAAGUGCCUGCCAAUUGGCUCCAGCGGGGUGGGAGAAGGGCAGGGGGGCAAAGG